UGAGGAAUAUUGGUCAAUGGGCGGGAGCCUGAACCAGCCAAGUCGCGUGAGGGAAGAAGGUGCUAAGCAUUGUAAACCUCUUUUGCCGGGGAACAAAAGAUCCCACGCGUGGGAUUUAUGAGUGUACCCGGAGAAAAGCAUCGGCUAACUCCGUGCC
rnacentral:rRNA from 1 species